GACGAACGCUGGCGGCGUGCCUAAUACAUGCAAGUCGAGCGGACUUGACAGAGCUUGCUCUGUUCAAGUUAGCGGCGGACGGGUGAGUAACACGUGGGCAACCUGCCCUGCAGAUUGGGAUAACUCCGGGAAACCGGGGCUAAUACCGAAUAACAUUGAAAACCUCAUGGUUUUCUUUUAAAAGGCGGCUUCGGCUGUCACUGCAGGAUGGGCCCGCGGCGCAUUAGCUAGUUGGUGAGGUAACGGCUCACCAAGGCGACGAUGCGUAGCCGACCUGAGAGGGUGAUCGGCCACACUGGGACUGAGACACGGCCCAGACUCCUACGGGAGGCAGCAGUAGGGAAUCUUCCGCAAUGGACGAAAGUCUGACGGAGCAACGCCGCGUGAGUGAAGAAGGUUUUCGGAUCGUAAACCUCUGUCAGGAAGGAUUAAAUGUAUGGAUGCGAAUAUCAUCCAUGCUUGACUUAACUUCCAAAGGAAGCCCCGGCUAACUACGUGCCAGCAGCCGCCGUAAAAC
rnacentral:rRNA from 1 species